AGCUUUGCACAGUGGCAGUAUUGUAGCCAAUGAGGUUUAUCCGAGGUGCAGUUAUUGCUAAUUGAAAAUUUUUCUAAUAAAAAUUCCUUAAACCAUGAGGAAAAACAGACAAUAUUUUCUUGGGAGUCAA
rnacentral:snRNA from 1 species